UGACCUGGUGUAAGGAGGAUGCUACCCGCACACUGGAAAGAGACGUGACCUGGUGUGAGGAGGAUGCUACCUGCACACUGCAAAGAGACAUGACCUGGUGUGAGGAGGAUGCUACCCGCACACUGCAAAGAGACGUGACCUGGUGUAAGGAGGAUGCUACCUGCACACUGCAGGAAAACAGCAAUACAGUCUGAUGAGUCAUUCUUUCGCCAUUUGGAUGGGUUUACAUUUCAUGGAAGCUGAAGGAUGCUUUCAGCUCACAAUGCUCUGCUGGACGGCCAUCCAUCUCAUGGGAACCAUUAUGACUCAUGAUUGCUCUGCAAGGUCACGUGACGUCCAAGGAACAUGAAGCUGUUUUGGAAGACUGACUGUACGCUAUGUUCCCUCAUAAAUCAUGGCGAUAACACCCCCAAGCACACUGCUAAACAAAGUCAAGAUGGUUUUAUGAACACCAGGAUGAUACAGGUCUACACAUCAUUGAACCUUUAUGGGAAGCUCUGAUGUUCAGCGUCUGAACUAGAUUUCCCCUCUCAUAGAAGUGGAUGACUGUCUUCCUAAGUAAUGGUCCUAUACCCCACCACACAGUUCAGGACUUAUAUGACAAGAUCUGAAGAAGGAUUGAAGGUCUUCUGAAAGCAAAGGCUGAUCCUAUAUAUAUUUAUAUUUAAACAUACCUUCAAAUCUGCAACCGCUGAAACAAGAUAAGUGUACUACACAUUUGUAGCUGCUUGGAAUAAGAAACAUGGGCUAUUUUAUUCAGCGUCAUAUAUUCUAAAUAUAAAGAAAAUCCCCGGAGCCUCAAGGAUGUUAAUUUCAUGGUUCGCUGCUUCCAUAAGUCCCAAAACAAACAGUGCAACCAAGUAAAACAAGGGCCAAAGCAUUUCUGGUUUACAUCUUUAAGAUCUUAAUUCUGUCAUGGCAACACCCUGCGUUUGUUAUUGUGCUUAAUGCCUUAAUCACUUUAUCAGUGCUAAUUGCCGACAUCUAGCAGAACUGAGUUUCGCAAACGAAAAUUGAUGGAAAAUAACAGCGCUUAUAAAAUAAAAGCCUCGUUGCUUGCUACUGGGUUGUUGUAUGGUCCGAAUUAGUAGGGUUUUACAAUACAAUGUCAUUCAUGACACUAGCAAAGACUAAUGCUGACAACUGACAGACUGCACUGGCUUUCUGUCUCAAAUCUGAUUGAUUGCCGAUUUAGCUUUUUUUUGUUCCUCGUUUAACGUUGAUUUAUUGCUGUUGAGUUUUGCUCUGACCCUGGAGAUGAAAAAGCAGAGUUUGCUGUCUGAAAGCCAGCUACCAGCCACUGAAAUCAGUGGCGUGGAGAGGAAAUCAUGCACUGCCUAUUAGUUUAAUUCCUGGUCCUAAGGACAAGCAGUAUGUGGAUCCAGUGUUCCCAUUAACCAGCAACCUUCUUUCUCGUGUUUUGAUAGGUGCUGCUGUGGUGUUAUCAAAAGCAAGUAAAAAUCUGGAGGGUAUGUACAUUAGUUUAAUAUUCAGGCACGGUGUUUUAUUAAGAAAAAACGAAACGUAAAUGUCAAGGAUACGCCGUGUUAGCAGGGGAACACGUGCAGCCAAUGAGGGAAGUGACAUUCAACAAGCCGGCAGAUAAACCACUUCAAAGGCAAUCGGACGAAAGGAAGUAAUCUGCAAUUCCAGGAGGGAACUGCGGGCUGCAGAAGCAAGAGGCUGGUCAUCUGUGAGCAUUAAAAAGCGUGUAGCUGUGUGACCAAGACUGUCACGUCCCAGUCACACCCCCGACGCACAAAACGCACUGGCUAAUCAACGGAGAUCAACCACACCUGCGGAUGCGACGAUAAAAACACGCUGCUCCAACGCGAGCCGUGUCUUGCCCCCGUCUGGUGCCGUCCACUUCGGCGUGACUCCCCCAGCUUCCUCGACCUCCUGCUCCAUGCCCCGACUCCCCCCUUCUGAUUCUGGUUCCCUGAGGUUUAAUAAACCCUCCUGUCUUCGCUAC